UACGGAGGGUGCAAGCGUUAUCCGGAUUCAUUGGGCGUAAAGGGUGCGUAGGCGGCGCGGUAAGUCGGGUGUGAAAUCUCGGAGCUUAACCCCGGAACUGCAUUCGAUACUGCAGUGCUUGAGGACUGGAGAGGAGACUGGAAUUCAUGGUGUAGCAGUGAAAUGCGUAGAGAUCAUGAGGAAGACCAGUGGCGAAGGCGGGUCUCUGGACAGUUCCUGACACUGAGGCACGAAGGCCAGGGGAGCAAACGGG
rnacentral:rRNA from 1 species